rnacentral:sRNA from 1 species
UGGUGUGAAUUGCAGAAUCCCGUGAACCAUCGAGUCUUUGAACGCAAGUUGCGCCCAAAGCCUUUUGGCCAAGGGCACGUCUGCUUGGGCGUCACGCAUCGUGUUGCCCCCUCCUCUGUCCUUCUGGGACAAUGCUUAGGUGGGGGCGGAUAAUGGCCUCCCGUUCGUCAUGACGUGCGGUUGGUCCAAAUGAGAUCCUGCGGCGAUGCACGUCGCGACCAGUGGUGGUUGAACUCUCAACUCAACUCUCGUGUCGUUGUGACGUUUGGCGUUGUGCGGUGGGAUUAUUGCAUACCCAAUCGUGCGAUCUAUUUCGCGCUUUCGACCGCGACCCCA